CAGCGUCUUCGACUGUGAGUCUGGGCAACCCCAAAAAUCUCAGAUUUUACAGCCCCAAAAAUCUCAGAUUUUACAGACCAAAAAUCUCACGUUUUACAGCCCAAAAAUCGCACGUUUUACACCCCCAAAAUGGCCCCAUUGUCACCCCCAAAACCAGUCCCUGUCACCUCCAAAACAGUGCCUCUGUCACCCCCAAAAAAUGGUCCCUGUCACCCCCAAAAUAAAAUUCUUUUCACCCCCAAAACCAGUCCCUGUCACCCCCAAAAAACAGUCCCUGUUACAUCCCAAAAAACAGUCCCUGUCACCCCCAAAUUGGGCCCUGCUCUGCCCUGGAAUCGGGGUUGGGCACCCCAAAAAUCUCAGAUUUUACAGCCCAAAAAUCGCACGUUUUACAGCCCCAAAAUCUCAGAUUUGGCACCCCAAAAAAUCUCACGUUUUACAGCCCAAAAAUCUCACGUUUUACAGCCCAAAAAUCUCAGAUUUUACAGACCAAAAAUCUCACGUUUUACAGACCAAAAAUCGCACAUUUUACACCCCCACAAUGGCCCCAUUGUCACCUCAAAAACCAGUCCCUGUCACCUCCAAAACAGUGCCUCUGUCACCCCCAAAAAAUGGUCCCUGUCACCCCCAAAAUAAAAUUCUUUUCGCCCCAAAAACCAGUCCCUGUCACCCCCAAAAUAAAAUCCUUUUCGCCCCAAAAACCAGUCCCUGUCACCCCCAAAAUAAAAUCCUUUUCGCCCCAAAAACCAGUCCCUGUCACCCCCAAAAUNNNNNNNNNNAUAAAAUCCUUUUCGCCCCAAAAACCAGUCCCUGUCACCCCCAAAAUCAGGCCCUGCUCUGCCCUGGAAUCGGGGUUGGGCACCCCAAAAAUCUCACAUUUUACACCCCAAAAAUCUCACGUUUUACAGCCCAAAAAUCUCCAAUUUUACAGACCCAAAAUCUCACGUUUUACAGCCCCAAAAAUCUCAGAUUUUACAGCCCCAAAAAUCUCAGAUUUUACAGUCCAAAAAUCUCACGUUUUACACCCCAAAAAUCUCACUUUUACAGACCAAAAAUCUCAGAUUUUACAGACCAAAAAUCUCAGAUUUUACAGACCAAAAAUCGCACAUUUUACACACCCAAAAUGGCCCCAUUGUCACCUCAAAAACCAGUCCCUGUCACCUCCAAAACAGUGCCUCUGUCACCCCCAAAAAACAGUCCCUGUUACAUCCCAAAAACCAGUCCCUGUCACCCCCAAAUUGGGCCCUGCUCUGCCCUGGAAUCGGGGUUGGGCACCCCAAAAAUCUCAGAUUUUACAGCCCAAAAAUCUCAGAUUUUACAGCCCAAAAAUCUCACGUUUUACAGACCAAAAAUCUCAGAUUUUACAGCCCCAAA
rnacentral:lncRNA from 1 species